AUCACUUCUCGGCCUUUUGGCUAAGAUCAAGUGUAGUAAAAUAUUUCUUUCAAUUAAUUUCCUUUCAAUGUGCAUGAAUUUGUGCACUUGGCUAUUAGUGUUAUUAUAAAGUAAACAAUAAGAAGAGGGAAAAUUCUU
rfam:Myotis brandtii contig275142, whole genome shotgun sequence.